rnacentral:ncRNA from 1 species
UGAAAAACAGUGAUGAGGAGUAGUAGUGGAAACUCAUGUUACAGAGAAUUGACGGGUGGUGCAAGUCAAUCAUAGAGAUCCUCGAACUCGCCUAUUAGUUGCAAGAGUGAAUCUUAGUAGUUCUUGUCGUCAACCGCGUUAAGGUGUUAAAGAAGUGAGUGUAUCCAACACUAAUUUGGGUGGUACCGCGGGAAUAAUUAUGCUUAUUAACCUCUCGUCCCUAAC